UAGGGAAUCUUCCGCAAUGGACGAAAGUCUGACGGAGCAACGCCGCGUGAGUGACGAAGGCCUUCGGGUCGUAAAGCUCUGUUGUUAGGGAAGAACAAGUACCGUUCGAAUAGGGCGGUACCUUGACGGUACCUAACCAGAAAGCCACGGCUAACUACGUGCCAGCAGCCGCGGUAAUACGUAGGUGGCAAGCGUUGUCCGGAAUUAUUGGGCGUAAAGCGCGCGCAGGCGGUCUCUUAAGUCUGAUGUGAAAGCCCACGGCUCAACCGUGGAGGGCCAUUGGAAACUGGGGGACUUGAGUGCAGAAGAGGAGAGUGGAAUUCCACGUGUAGCGGUGAAAUGCGUAGAUAUGUGGAGGAACACCAGUGGCGAAGGCGGCUCUCUGGUCUGUAACUGACGCUGAGGCGCGAAAGCGUGGGGAGCAAACAGGAUUAGAUACCCCCGUAGUCC
rnacentral:rRNA from 1 species